UGGGUUGUGACUCAGUGGUAGAGUGCUCGCCUAGCAUGCAUGAGACACUGGGUUCAAUCCUCAGUACCACAU
rnacentral:tRNA from 1 species